rnacentral:rRNA from 1 species
UACGUAGGUGGCGAGCGUUGUCCGGAUUUACUGGGCGUAAAGGGAGCGUAGGCGGACUUUUAAGUGAGAUGUGAAAUACCCGGGCUCAACCUGGGGGCUGCAUUUCAAACUGGAAGUCUAGAGUGCGGGAGAGGAGAGUGGAAUUCCUAGUGUAGCGGUGAAAUGCGUAGAGAUUAGGAAGAACACCAGUGGCGAAGGCGACUCUCUGGACCGUAACUGACGCUGAGGCUCGAAAGCGUGGGGAGCAAACAGG